ACAAACUCACCGAUAGGUAGUUCGAUGGGUACCAAGCAAUUCGAGCAGGAGUAAGUAGACAAGGAGAGGGACAACAACGCAAUCGGCUUGCCGACAUGUGGCAAGCAUCUGCGAGCCGCGCUCAGAGCAAACAAACUCUCCCAUCCAUAUUAAGUUUAAGGACCAACAUGCAUGAAGGGCUGGGCCCACAACUUGACAUCUGCUCC
rnacentral:lncRNA from 1 species